rnacentral:rRNA from 1 species
CCUACGGGUGGCAGCAGUGAGGAAUAUUGGUCAAUGGGCUUACGCCUGAACCAGCCAAGUCGCGUGAGGGAAGACUGCCCUAUGGGUUGUAAACCUCUUUUGUCAGGGAGCACUUGGCGCUACGUGUAGCGUUAUCGAGAGUACCUGAAGAAACAGCAUCGACAAACUCCGUGCCAGCAGCCGCGGUAAUACGGAGGAUGCGAGCGUUAUCCGGAUUUAUUGGGUUUAAAGGGUGCGUAGGCGGAAUGCCAAGUCAGCGGUAAAAUCGCGGGGCCGAACCUCGCGCGGCCGUUGAAACUGGCGUUCUUGAGUGGGCGAGAAGUAUGCGGAAUGCGUGGUGUAGCGGUGAAAUGCUUAGAUAUCACGAAGAACUCCGAUUGCGAAGGCAGCUUACUAGACUGCCACUGACAUUGAUGCUCGAAAGUGUGGGUAUCAAACAGGAUUAGAUACCCGUGUAGUC